GAUACCUACAAGCAAGCAGGUGUUCUUUUCAGAAGCCAGAAGCUGAUAACCUGGGCUUUCUGAUCUAACCCCAGCCCAAAUUCUUUGCAAUGGAGGAAUGGGGAGGAGAUUCUUCCUACUGAGAAGUGGGUGCCAACUCUCCCUUUCAAAUUUGUUCAUCAACAAACUAAAGGGGAUGCCAGAAAUGUCUGGAGCAAUGGAAGAACCACUGGAAUAAUGCUCCUGCCUGAUUGCAUCUACUUAACCCACUCUCCAAGAGCUAGAAUCAGAUUUCAACCGUAUGGAAUCAUCUACAAUGCAGCAGAUGGGUUUACAAGUCUCUUGGUCUCUUCGUGAAGAAGGAGUAGCAAUCGUGUCCCAAGUCCUUGAGGACUUCACAGGGCAUUCCAAUGUCCUGAGAAUAUACCUGCCUAAGGGCGUGUCUGUUAGGGAGACUCCCAUGAGGGAGGGGAGCCGAGGAAAGAGGCUGAGUGGGAUGAAGAGAGUGUGUUUGUCCCUCCAGCUGUGCCAGGGUCUUCUCAGCCCUUCUCACAGACGGCUGUCUGUGGACCUCUGUUCCUGGAAUCACCCCUCUGCACCACCCAAACUCCCUGAUUAUGAAUUGCACAAUACAUCCCUAAUUCAA
rnacentral:lncRNA from 1 species